rnacentral:rRNA from 1 species
GAUGAACGCUGGCGGCGUGCCUAACACAUGCAAGUCGAGUGGCAGCGAGGGGUGCUUGCACCCUGUCGGCGAGCGGCGGACGGCUGAGUAACGCGUGGGAACGUGCCCCAAAGUGAGGAAUAACUGCCCGAAAGGGUAGCUAAUACCGCAUAUUAUCUUCGGAUCAAAGGAUUUAUCCGCUUUGGGAGCGGCUCGCGUCGGAUUAGGUAGUUGGUGAGGUAAUGGCUCACCAAGCCGACGAUCCGUAGCUGGUCUGAGAGGAUGACCAGCCAGACUGGAACUGAGACACGGUCCAGACUCCUACGGGAGGCAGCAGUGAGGAAUCUUCCACAAUGGGCGAAAGCCUGAUGGAGCAACGCCGCGUGCAGGACGAAGGCCUUCGGGUUGUAAACUGCUUUUAUAAGUGAGGAAUAUGACGGUAACUUAUGAAUAAGGAUCGGCUAACUACGUG